rnacentral:misc_RNA from 1 species
GGCGCGACGCGCUCGGGGUUGAUCGGGAAAUCGAUGUUGCUGAGGGUCUCGUCGGUCGGGCCGUAGGUUUCGCCGGGCUUCAGAUCGAGCAGGCGCUCGGGAUCGACGGUGAUGGCGUUGGUCUCGACCGUGGCCGAGNAUUUCGGCCUGCACCAAGAGGCUCUGCGCGCGCGCGUCGAUCAGGCCGGCGCGGAAUUGCGACAGAUAGAGAAUGCCGGCCAGCAUCGCGAACAGGCCGAUCAGGUUGAGG